UACGGAGGGAGCUAGCGUUGUUCGGAAUUACUGGGCGUAAAGCGCACGUAGGCGGCUUUGUAAGUUAGAGGUGAAAGCCCGGGGCUCAACUCCGGAAUUGCCUUUAAGACUGCAUCGCUAGAAUUGUGGAGAGGUAAGUGGAAUUCCGAGUGUAGAGGUGAAAUUCGUAGAUAUUCGGAAGAGCACCAGUGGCGAAGGCGACUUACUGGACACAUAUUGACGCUGAGGUGGCGAAAGCGUGGGGAGCAAACAGG
rnacentral:rRNA from 1 species